GUAGUACUCCCUCCGUUUCAAAAUUCUUAUCUUAGAUUUGUCUAAAUACGGAUGUAUCAAGUCACGUUUUAGUAUUAGAUAUAUCCAUAUCUAGGUAAAUCUAAGACAAGAAUUUUGGGACGGAGGGAGUACGUA
rnacentral:pre_miRNA from 1 species